GCCAUAGGAGCCUGACAGCUCAGGGGCUGCUGAGGAAGAGUUGGGACACUGAAAAGGCUAGGCCAGCUGACACGGGGCACACAGCCUUGGGGACCAGCAGAGCAGAGAAGGCAACCUGGAAGAGGACUGCCAGGCUGCUAACAGACAAAGCAGUCACUGAACUCCGUAACCAGGAAGAACGGUUCUGUCCUGGAAAGAAGGGAGGAGAAGGAGGAGACGAGAAUACUGUCCCAAGAGUGAUCCGCAGCCGGCCACUCCACGAUGGCUGGUCCAGCUGCCAUUCUGAGGCCCUGUGAGGACAAAAAAAACCACUGAGCCUCCUGCUCCAUCCCUCCAGAGAUGGAGAAGAGAAUGGGGAGGGCUGCUUGCUCAAGAACACAGCAGGCCAGGAUGGAAACUAAUGUCUUUGAAGGUCACACAACUUCUGCCGGGCAUCUGGACUCUUCUGACGAUGUAGAGGGAAAGAGCCAAACAAUGUGUGCACAAGCUGAUGCUGGGUCACACACCGGGGCGGCUGAGACGGCUGAGCAGGUAAGGCAACCACUGUUAACCCUGACAACCUGCUUGUGACCCCUGGGACUCCCAAUGGCAAGAGAGAACCAACUCCCAGACUGUCCUUUGAUUGUCACUUGUAUAACAGCACACGUGCACAGUCAGACACACACGAAUAAAUGUGAUCAAAACAC